UGCAUCCGGCUGGACAGAAGCGUAACAAUGCGUAUUGCCAUGUGUAUUUUCAGACUGUCCAGUAAAGAAUGUGCGUCUUUAUUGAAGUGUGCAACAACAUUUGGUGUCAGAAGUGGGAUCAGCGGUGCUACGGAGAAGCAGUGUGAGAUCGCAGACCAAACGCAACUAUGGAGCUGGAGCGACUGCAAGAUCAACUGAAUGAGAUCCUGGUGCAGUUCAAAUUUGAGCAGCUACAAGAGGUCAAAACCAGAGUGAGCAGCAAAAAGACGUUUAUCAGCUCAUCACAGACAGCAUCCAACACUUGGAGACACAAAUGGCAGCUACUGAGGGAAGAGAGUCAGCUUUUCUCUCGGGAUGAACAGGAUACAGGAACCAUACCAUCUCUGCAGCUGUUAUGGAAAAUAACAUUUUCCAUCUCUUUACAUCUUUGAUCACAUACACGUUCCUGUAGCUUCAUACUAGGCCAUUCACCUUUGACCUACACACUUGUAGCUCUUCCAAGAUAUCUCUCUCCCUAGCAUAUUUACACCCUUAGUCUAAACACCUAGCAAGCUUAGUUAUUCCCACACAAAGCUGAUUGUUAGACCUGUCGGACCGUGAGACCCGAGGUCGUUCUCACCAGCAGCACAGACGACCCUUAGGGCUCUUUGGAUCACUGAAAUCAAUCUCAGACACCUGUGAUAAUCAGUUUGCCAGCUUUCACUGCUGACUGCUCAAACACUGGAUCCCGACCUGGACGCCCGUCCGCCCGACGUCGUCUGCCCGGCCCCAUCCCAGCACCUCAACAAGUAUCCGCCAUUACAUGUCAUUCAUGUCCAACUUCCAAUGAUGGAGGUGGCGGGAACGGAUGGUGAACCUAUACUGGUUUAUAGGCCUUGGACUCAGAAAGACACUGAAACC